GACGAACGCUGGCGGCGUGCCUAACACAUGCAAGUCGAACGCAGUGGCGAACGGGUGAGUAACGGGUAAUCAACCUGCCCUUCAGAGGGGGAAAACAGUUGGUAACGACUGCUAAUACCGCAUACUGAAGGAGGGGAUUGCGUCUGAUUCGCUAGUUGGAGGGGUAACGGCCCACCAAGGCAAGGAUCAGUAGCCGGCCUGAGAGGAGGAACGGCCACAUUGGGACUGGGACACGGCCCAGACUCCUACGGGAGGCAGCAGUGGGGAAUCUUCCGCAAUGGACGAAAGCCUGACGGAGCAACGCCGCGUGAGUGAUGACGGCCUUCGGGUUGUAAAGCUCUGUUAAUCGGGACGCGGUACCGGAAUAGAAAGCCACGGCUAACUACGUGCCAGCCGCCGCGGUAAUUC
rnacentral:rRNA from 1 species